rnacentral:misc_RNA from 1 species
GAUGAAGAACGUAGUGAAAUGCGAUAAGUAAUGUGAAUUGCAGAAUUCAGUGAAUCAUCGAAUCUUUGAACGCACAUUGCGCCCGCCAGUAUUCUGGCGGGCAUGCCUGUCUGAGCGUCAUUUCAACCCUCAUGCCCCUAGGGCGUGGUGUUGGGGAUCGGCCAAAGCCCGCGAGGGACGGCCGGCCCCUAAAUCUAGUGGCGGACCCGUCGUGGCCUCCUCUGCGAAGUAGUGAUAUUCCGCAUCGGAGAGCGACGAGCCCCUGCCGUUAAACCCCCAACUUUCCAAGGUUGACCUCAGAUCAGGUAGGAAAACCCGCUGAACUUAAGCAUAUCAAUAAGCGGAGGA